ACAAGCGGUGGAGCAUGUGGUUUAUUUCGAUGCAACGCGAAGAACCUUACCUACUCUUGACAUCCAGAGAACUUAGCAGAGAUGCUUUGGUGCCUUCGGGAACUCUGAGACAGGUGCUGCAUGGCUGUCGUCAGCUCGUGUUGUGAAAUGUUGGGUUAAGUCCCGCAACGAGCGCAACCCUUAUCCUUUGUUGCCAGCGAUUCGGUCGGGAACUCAAAGGAGACUGCCAGUGAUAAACUGGAGGAAGGUGGGGAUGACGUCAAGUCAUCAUGGCCCUUACGAGUAGGGCUACACACGUGCUACAAUGGCAUAUACAAAGAGAAGCGACCUCGCGAGAGCAAGCGGACCUCAUAAAGUAUGUCGUAGUCCGGAUUGGAGUCUGCAACUCGACUCCAUGAAGUCGGAAUCGCUAGUAAUCGUGGAUCAGAAUGCCACGGUGAAUACGUUCCCGGGCCUUGUACACACCGCCCGUCAAACCAUGGG
rnacentral:rRNA from 1 species